ACAGCCUCAGAGAAGAAAGUGUUGUGAGUGGAAAGAAGCUCCUGUCAUGGAUGUGGUUUACCAAAGCCUACAGCGAGGUGGUUGAGUACGAAACAAAAAUAGAGCAAAAUGCAAGGUUUGAUUUCACUUAGGAAAGAUCUCUUGUCCUGUACAGCAGUGAAAUUUGGUGGAUAUGGAAGGUGCAAAAUAGAAGAGGAUAGAAAGGAGCUUCAUCGUGGAGCUCUGAGUCUUCUGGUGUGCUGCUGCUUUCAUGUGGAAUAGGCUCUCUUUUGGGGCCUUUUCAGUUAAUUAAUGGCAUUCAGAACCAAGUCUGCAGAAAAGCUACAGCCAACAAAAUAGAUCUGUCCAGACUGUUUUCCUGGAAUGUCCCUAAACAAAAGCUAGUUCCCUGGAGGGAAAUGCUUUAGUGCCCUGUUGCUCGGAAAUCAUCAGAUUUCAGGCCUUUCCGAAACCUGUAAUUGUAACAAAAUUAUUCUUUCCAAAAGAUACUUGGGUUGUUUUUCACCCUGCUCAAUGAGAUCCAUAUUCCAUGGCACUGACUGUGAGUGGUUUAAAGAUAAAUGCAUGUCGUGUCCUGAAUGUCUUUCGACUUUGUCAUGGGGAGACACCAGCCAAUUAAAUUCUGAAAUUAUUGAUUUUUUUAUUUAUUUCCUUAUUUAAAAGAAAAAAAACCCAAACUAAAAAACUCUUAAUCCUUUAGGGAAAAUGGCAUUUUUAAUCCUGGUUUGGUUAUUACUGAAGUAGGAAAGUAAGUUAGGGAGAGAAAUUAGGUUUCAUUUUAAACUGAGAUUUCUGAGAGCCUUAAGUUACUCUCAGUUUAUUCAUAACUUAGCAACAAUUUGAAUUCAUUUAAUAAGAAGCCUAAAUCAUUUGCAAAGAAGAGUGAACAUUUCUUUAAAUGAGAUGGUGUAGUUUGUGCUGCUGUGUAUGCAUGAAUGUCUGGUUCCUAAUGUUCCUAAGGAUGUUGUGCAUCCCACCCCAGCCUCUGGAACUGGGAUGGAGAUUCCAGAUUAUUACUCACAGUGCUCCGAGCUUUACAGGUUGCUGUCCCUGUCACCUGAAAGAGAGGAAAUGGAGAGCAAAGGUCCAGCCUUGCUAAGGCACCCUUGGGAUGAGAACAAUUCCCUACCCUGGGUUCAGUUCAGCUCCAAGUCCCAAAUGAGCUGGAUUUUUGUUCCAUUUCUUCUUUUCUGA
rnacentral:lncRNA from 1 species